GUGGGGAAUAUUGGACAAUGGGGGGAACCCUGAUCCAGCCAUGCCGCGUGUGUGAAGAAGGCCUUUUGGUUGUAAAGCACUUUAAGCGAGGAGGAGGCUACCGAGAUUAAUACUCUUGGAUAGUGGAUGUUACUCGCAGAAUAAGCACCGGCUAACUCUGUGCCAGCAGCCGCGGUAAUACAGAGGGUGCAAGCGUUAAUCGGAUUUACUGGGCGUAAAGCGCGCGUAGGUGGCCAAUUAAGUCAAAUGUGAAAUCCCCGAGCUUAACUUGGGAAUUGCAUUCGAUACUGGUUGGCUAGAGUAUGGGAGAGGAUGGUAGAAUUCCAGGUGUAGCGGUGAAAUGCGUAGAGAUCUGGAGGAAUACCGAUGGCGAAGGCAGCCAUCUGGCCUAAUACUGACACUGAGGUGCGAAAGCAUGGGGAGCAAACAGGAUUAGAUACCCCAGUAGUCC
rnacentral:rRNA from 1 species